rnacentral:rRNA from 1 species
GAGACGGUUCUCAAUGAGGCCCGUUAUCGGAAUGAGUACAAUCCAAACACUUUAACGAGGAUCUAUCAGAGGGCAAGUCUGGUGCCAGCAGCCGCGGUAAUUCCAGCUCUGAAGGUGUAUACCACCGUUGUUGCGGUUAAAACGCUCGUAGUUGGAUCUACGUUCGUGGGGUCGGUGUUCUCGAAUGAGAUCUACUGGCUACCUGGACUGAUACAGCUGGUUUUCCCUUGGUGCCCUUCACCGGGUGCCUUGGGCGGCUAGCAAGUUUACUUUGAAAAAAUUAGAGUGCUCAAAACAGGCGCAUGCCUGAAUAGUGGUGCAUGGAAUAAUGGAAUAGGAUCUUGGUCCUAUUUUGUUGGUUUUCGGGAACCAAGAUAAUGAUUAAGAGGAACAGACGGGGGCAUUCGUAUUGUGGCGUUAGAGGUGAAAUUCUUGGAUCGCUGCAAGACGAACAACUGCGAAAGCUUUUGCCAA